rnacentral:rRNA from 1 species
GACGAACGCUGGCGGCGUGCCUAACACAUGCAAGUCGAACGGAAAGGCUCGGCUCUUGUUGGGUGCUCGAUUGGCGAACGGGUGAGUAACACGUGAGUAUCCUGCCCUUGACUUUGGGAUAACUUCUGGAAACUGGGGCUAAUACCGGAUAGGAGAUCCUGCUGCACGGUGGUGGUUGGAAAGUUUCGGCGGUUGGGGAUGGAAUCGCGGCUUAUCAGCUUGUUGGUGGGGUAGUGGAUUACCAAGGCGUUGACGGGUAGCCGGCCUGAGAUGGUGACCGGACACAUUACACCUGAGCUACGGCCCAGACUACUCUCGGACGCAACGGUGGAGAGUGUUACACAGUGGGCGGGGGCCAGAUGCGAUCAAGCCACGUGCGGGAUGACGGCCUUCGGGUUGUAAACCAAUGUCGCCUGAGACGAAGAGUGAGUGACGGUACCGGGUAAAGAAGCACCGGCUAACUACGUG